GGGCUCGUGGUCUAGUCUGGUUAGGACAUCGCUCUCACACGGCGAGAAUCCCCGGUUCAAAUCCGGGCGGGCCCACCA
rnacentral:tRNA from 1 species